rnacentral:rRNA from 1 species
GAUAAACGCUGGCGGCGUGCAUGAGACAUGCAAGUCGAACGGACGAUCGAGGCUUGCUUCGAUCGUUAGUGGCGGACGGCUGAGUAACGCGUAGGUGACCUGCCCCGAAGUGGGGAAUAACUGCCCGAAAGGGUGGCUAAUACCGCAUGUGGUGGUGUGUUCAAUCACACCAGUAAAGCCGCAAGGCGCUUCGGGAGGGGCCUGCGUCCGAUUAGCUCGNGGUGGGGUAACGGCUCACCAAGGCGACGAUCGGUAGGUGGUCUGAGAGGACGAUCACCCAGACUGGGACUGAGACACGGCCCAGACUCCUACGGGAGGCAGCAGUCGGGAAUUUUGCGCAAUGGACGAAAGUCUGACGCAGCAACGCCGCGUGAGGGAUGAAGGCCUUCGGGUU